rnacentral:rRNA from 1 species
CCUACGGGGAGCAGCAGUGAGGAAUAUUGGUCAAUGGGCGCGAGCCUGAACCAGCCAAGUCGCGUGAGGGAAGACGGUCCUAUGGAUUGUAAACCUCUUUUGUCGGGGAGCAAAAGACGCCACGCGUGGCGUUCCGAGAGUACCCGAAGAAAAAGCAUCGGCUAACUCCGUGCUAGCAGCCGCGGGAAGACGGAGGAUGCGAGCGUUAUGCGGAUUUAUUGGUGUGAAAGGGUGCGCAGGCGGAAGAUCAAGUCAGCGGUAAAAGUGAGAGGCUCAACCUCUUCGAGCCGUUGAAACUGUUUUUCUUGAGUGAGCGAGAAGUAUGCGGAAUGCGUGGUGUAGCGGUGAAAUGCAUAGAUAUCACGCAGAACUCCGAUUGCGAAGGCAGCAUACCGGCGCUCAACUGACGCUCAUGCACGAAAGUGUGGGUAUCGAACAGGAUUAGAUACCCGUGUAGUC